AGAGUUUGAUCCUGGCUCAGAGCGAACGCUGGCGGCAGGCCUAACACAUGCAAGUCGAGCGCCCCGCAAGGGGAGCGGCAGACGGGAGAGUAACACGUGGGAACGUACCCUUCAGUUCGGAACAACCCAGGGAAACUUGGGCUAAUACCGAAUACGUCCGUAAGGAGAAAGAUUUAUCGCUGAAGGAUCGGCCCGCGUCUGAUUAGCUUGUUGGUGAGGUAACGGCUCACCAAGGCGACGACCAGUAGCUGGUCUGAGAGGAUGAUCAGCCUCACUGGGACUGAGACACGGCCCAGACUCCUACGGGAGGCAGCAGUGGGGAAUAUUGGACAAUGGGCGCAAGCCUGAUCCAGCCAUGCCGCGUGGGUGAUGAAGGCCCUAGGGUUG
rnacentral:rRNA from 1 species